GUUCCUGUGUGAUUUGAGACAUUCUUCACAUUUCCUGGUAACCAAAGUAAUCCAAGUUUGGGUAAACUUAAACUCUACAAAUGAUAGGAGAAAAGAAUAAUGAGGGUGCAUCUGAUUCAUCUGGAGAUGGUAAGCUUAUGUUUCUGGCCAUGGAAGUUUCUUCUACAAUAUGCAGACAAAACACAUUUCCACAAAGGAAGACAUCUGAUCUUCACAUAAAAUAAGAUGCUUUUAAGGAAUCUGAUCCUUCAACUCCCUUCCAAAAUGGGGAGGGAGAUUCUGGCAAAUUUAUAUCUUCCAGAAAAAUAGGUAUGUGAAAGUUGGAUGGGUUCAUUUACUGUGUUUAAGGAAAUGUAAAUAUUUUAAGCAGACCACUGGGGUGGCAAUCAAGUCACCAUAUCUGAAGUUCCCCAAAAUGUAAGAGAAAAUAUUUACCUUCAGAUUAUUUUGACUUGUUAGAACCUCAAGGCUGAACCAAUCAACCUCAAGGGUUUUGACUAUAUACCUUGCAAUUGUCUCCAGCUCUAAAACUUCAAACUAUUUAAUAACUUAAGAAAUGAUCAUUGUGUACUCCAUUGUUAUAAAGGUCUAAAAUUAAUUAAAAGUUAGAGUUCUUCACCCAAUAAAUUAUAUACUUUUGAAAUGUUAUAGAUUUGCUUAUGCAUAGCUCUUAUCUGAGAAUUUAAUAUACGAGAAAUAAGACUGUGUGUACAUUACACCAGCUGUGUACCUAUACUGCUAUUUUAUAAUAAAGGAAAACCCGAUUUGUGAUUAUGAGAAUGGAGCCCUGAGUUUUCCUUGUGGUGGCUGUAACUCCCUUAUGCUCUACACCUUGGCUCUGCUGGCAGUGCUCUCUACUUCUGUUCUGCUGGCCUCACUGUAAUUCUAGUUCACCCUGCUGUGGAACAAUAGGGGAAAUGGGAAUAAAGACACCAGUAAUAAUGACAGCAUAUUAUUGUAUUAUUGCAGCAGUGUGCCCCCACGCCCCCAUUUUUUUGGUACCACAAGAGAGUAUCAUUUAGAAGAGAGUGUUUGUAUGUGUAACCAUUCUAUUCCUAUGAGGUAGAUAUCAAGUGUUAUCCUCAUUCUGUCACUGAGGAAAUGGCCCUAUUGCUGGGGAUUGGCCCAAAGACACACUGUAAAAUCACAGUAAUAUACGAGGAGCUAGCAUUUUAGUAGACAUUUGAGUAUCUACUAUGUGCUAGGAGUUUGUUAACGAAAUCAAAUUUCUUUAUGGAGCAAAAUUGCCAAUGCCAGGGGGAAAGUUGGGAAUGGUACUGAGAGAAUAUAAGGGUCUGGUAGAUAUGGAGUCUCCCUGAAACGAGAAGAUUCAGAGGAUGUCUUGUAAUAUGCACUUGAAAGAUCAGGUGACUGGUAGCACAGUUUCAUUUCAAAGAAGAGCAUUGUCUACAAGGAGUCAAGCACCUUACAAAUGUUCUUGUUUAUUUCCUGCACCGCCCUAUGAGGUAGGUGUUUUCCAUGUCUCAGAGAUAAGGAAAUUGUGGUAAAAAGAUCAAACCGCUAAUGUGACAGAGAAUGACUUCUGCUUCCAGGAAGAUCAAGUGGAAGUACUUAUCUCUUUUCCUCUCACUAAGCACAAGAAAACACCUGAACACUUCAUAUAAAACAAAUAUAAGGCUCUGAAAAAUAGAGAAGAAGGACAAUAGACUAGGAACCCCAGGACCCAAGGAGUGACAGUGUGGAGAAAUCCCUGGGUUUUCUUUUAGCCAGAGGUUGACAACCCAGAAAUGCUAACAGGCAUAGACUGUAAAGGCCCAAACAAAGGCCUUUUCUCUGUACUAAAAAGACCAGGAAAGAAGAAACCUGUCAAGACAGGAAGCUUUUAGACAAUAAACCCUCUAUUCAUGUCAAGCAUCACAGAAAAACUGUGGUGGAGAGCCUAGAUUUCUGCCUUCUGGAGGCUGUAAGAUCCCCCACUGGGGUUGUAUCAGGGAAAGCUGAACAAAAAAUGAACUUGCAUCCCUUCUAGGCAGUAAGGAGAAACUUGGCCUCACCCAGGGCAGUGGAGACUAUGUUGGAGUCUGGGUUUCCACCUCCACUGAGUGGUAAUGAAAUGGUGUCCUUACCUUCCCUUACUGGAUUUGUGUCCAAAAAAGCCAACUCAUAUACAGUGUAAAGAUAAGAUCCAGAGUCUUAUAAAUUAUAGAGGUGGAGAACAGAUUAGUAAAUUCCAAGGGUUAGAUAGGUUGAGAGAAGGGAGGUGCAUGUAUCUAUGAAAGUCAAUAUGAGAGAUCCUUGUGGUGAUAGAUAUGUUCUAUCUAUGAAUGCCAAUAUCCUAAUUGUUAUAGACUGAACUGCCCCCCCCAACCAAAUUCAUAUGUUGAAGCUUUAACCCCAGUACCUCAGAAUGUAACCAUAUUUGAAAAUUGAGUCUUUAAGGAGGUACUAAAGUUGAAAUGAGGUCAUUAGGGUGGAUCCUGUUCCAAUAUGGCUGGUUUCCUCACGGGAAAAAAGGAAAUUUGAACAUAGACACUUAUAGAAGGAAGACCCUGUGAAGACAGAGGGAGAAGAUAGCCAUCUAUAAGCAAAAAGAAACCAUCCCUGUCAACACCUUGAGGUGCUCCGCUCACCUUAACUUCAGCCUCUGAGGCCAAGAGACUUGGAAGAAACCGACCCUGUGGACAACUUGAUCUCAGACUUCUAGUUUCUGGAACUACGAGGAGGAUUUAUACCAUGAAGCAGAGAAUCCCUGGAACAAACAAGACAGACACACACUACAGCUGACAUGCAGUGCUGUCAAGAGCACCUGUACACAGCCAAUGGUUGACUCAGCAAUGGUCAGAGCCAAAAGAUCUUCUUCCAGAGACUUGAAGAUAUUAUGGAAGAACUUCGCAGUGGAGAGCCCGAACUGGUACUUGGAAUAAACAGAUAUCAAAGCCUAACAGCUGAAUUUCUUCAAGCAGUGGCCUCUGGGCUUCCCUAAUAUAGGAUCCUAAUGGCUCAUCCUACUUCCUUCAAGGUACCUCUACCGGAAGAGAUAGUGACAAGUACAUCACAAAGGAGAGAGAUAGCCUAUGGAAAUCAGAAGAUUGUGGUGGAGCAGGAGGACCCUAGGCUUGCCUCGCUUCGCUGAUACAACCAGAUAACUAUCAAAUCAUCCUAAAUACCCCAGAAAUAGACCUGAAGGUUGGCAGAACAAACUUCACAGCUAAAGGUAGAGAAGAGGCUACAAUGAACAAGGGUUUGGUGGUGUGCAGAUGUCAGGUCUGAGACAUCCGCGGCCACAUUAUUACCGUGAGCAAAGCCAGACUGUACGUGAAGCAAAGCCAGAGAAGGCUUCUUUUCUUCCUUCGGGUAAUUCGAGAGACUUGAUUGUUCCUCUUUUCCUUUUUGACAUUUUGAGGAUGACCCAUGGUCGUUUUUAUCUCUUUGACAAAUUCUUGUAAUCUCUGCUUUAUAAGGAUUCAAUCCCCAUCUCCCUCCACUCAAGCAGGUUGGUUUAAUCAGAGUAAUUCAUUCGCCGAGGACCUGAGUAGCCUGGGUGGUUUUUGUUUGUUUGUUUUUGUUUUUUGUUUUUUGUUUUUUUAAUAAAAGAGAAAACUAAUUCAAUCCACAUAACUGACCUGAAGUACUGAGUUGACAUUUUAAUUUUAGAAGAAAGUUAGAUCUGUUACAGGUUUAGGAAAUAAGGUUACAGUUGGGGAUUUCUGGAUUCUGACAACCCAAGACAUUUAGAUCUAUUCAAGGCAACAGAACCUGAAGCAAGGAUUAAAAUGCUGAUGCUUUCUUAACUUGGGAGGUGCAAACCCAGGGUAGUGAGAGAGAAGAAAAAUGGAAGUGAGGCAAGGAAAUAUGGGAAACUUUGUGAAGGGAUGGCUUACCAUGCUGGCUUCUGCUUCAUGGGUAGCCAAAAAGAGAGCAGUGCUCUUGGUAGUUGUAUUCAUUCAACACCAGAGACUUUCCUGAAUGUGCUGCAAAGGGAACUGUGUCUCCAAGCAGUAGUACUUGGGAGGAGUGUGUCUGCCCAGGUACACUGGUUCCUAUUGAUAGAAGUUUACCUCACAGGAAGUAAAUUGCCCUGUAUAUCCAGGUUUCAUCAUCUAGCCCCUUUGAUAGAAGCUUAAGAUACCUGGUCCCAUGCCCUGCAGUAUAGUGUUUCAUUCCACCCCAGAAGUAGGAGGUGUCAGACAUCCAGGUAUGUGGCUGACUGGCUCAGUUCUGCAGUGGUGAGUAAACAGGAGGACCUACUGCU